CAGUAGCCACGGUAAUACGAAGGGUGCAAGCGUUAAUCGGAAUUACUGGGCGUAAAGCGUGCGUAGGCGGUUUGUUAAGUCUGUUGUGAAAUCCCCGGGCUCAACCUGGGAAUGGCAAUGGAUACUGGCAAGCUAGAGUGUGUCAGAGGAUGGUGGAAUUCCCGGUGUAGCGGUGUAAUGCGUAGAGAUCGGGAGGAACAUCAGUGGCGAAGGCGGCCAUCUGGGACAACACUGACGCUGAGGAGCGAAAGCGUGGGGAGCGAACAGGAUUAGAUACCCCCGUAGUCCCUGUCUCUUAUAA
rnacentral:rRNA from 1 species